CCUACGGGUGGCAGCAGUCGAGAAUCAUUCACAAUGGGGGAAACCCUGAUGGUGCGACGCCGCGUGGGGGAAUGAUGGUCUUCGGUUUGUAAACCCCUUUCAUGUGGGAGCAAAUUAAAAAGAUAGUACCACAAGAGGAAGAGACGGCUAACUCUGUGCCAGCAGCCGCGGUAAUACAGAGGUCUCAAGCGUUGUUCGGAAUCACUGGGCGUAAAGCGUGCGUAGGCUGUUUCGUAAGUCGUGUGUGAAAGGCGCGGGCUCAACCCGCGGACGGCACAUGAUACUGCGAGACUAGAGUAAUGGAGGGGGAAGCGGAAUUCUCGGUGUAGCAGUGAAAUGCGUAGAUAUCGAGAGGAACACUCGUGGCGAAGGCGGGUUCCUGGACAUUAACUGACGCUGAGGCACGAAGGCGAGGGGAGCGAAAGGGAUUAGAUACCCUGGUAGUC
rnacentral:rRNA from 1 species